GGGUUGUGAGGUUAAGCGACUAAGCGUACACGGUGGAUGCCCUGGCAGUCAGAGGCGAUGAAGGACGUGCUAAUCUGCGAUAAGCGUCGGUAAGGUGAUAUGAACCGUUAUAACCGGCGAUUUCCGAAUGGGGAAACCCAGUGUGAUUCGUCACACUAUCAUUAACUGAAUCCAUAGGUUAAUGAGGCGAACCGGGGGAACUGAAACAUCUAAGUACCCCGAGGAAAAGAAAUCAACCGAGAUUCCCCCAGUAGCGGCGAGCGAACGGGGAGCAGCCCAGAGCCUGAAUCAGUGUGUGUGUUAGUGGAAGCGUCUGGAAAGGCGCGCGAUACAGGGUGACAGCCCCGUACACAAAAAUGCACAUACUGUGAGCUCGAUGAGUAGGGCGGGACACGUGGUAUCCUGUCUGAAUAUGGGGGGACCAUCCUCCAAGGCUAAAUACUCCUGACUGACCGAUAGUGAACCAGUACCGUGAGGGAAAGGCGAAAAGAACCCCGGCGAGGGGAGUGAAAAAGAACCUGAAACCGUGUACGUACAAGCAGUGGGAGCACGCUUAGGCGUGUGACUGCGUACCUUUUGUAUAAUGGGUCAGCGACUUAUAUUCUGUAGCAAGGUUAACCGAAUAGGGGAGCCGAAGGGAAACCGAGUCUUAACUGGGCGUUAAGUUGCAGGGUAUAGACCCGAAACCCGGUGAUCUAGCCAUGGGCAGGUUGAAGGUUGGGUAACACUAACUGGAGGACCGAACCGACUAAUGUUGAAAAAUUAGCGGAUGACUUGUGGCUGGGGGUGAAAGGCCAAUCAAACCGGGAGAUAGCUGGUUCUCCCCGAAAGCUAUUUAGGUAGCGCCUCGUGAAUUCAUCUCCGGGGGUAGAGCACUGUUUCGGCAAGGGGGUCAUCCCGACUUACCAACCCGAUGCAAACUGCGAAUACCGGAGAAUGUUAUCACGGGAGACACACGGCGGGUGCUAACGUCCGUCGUGAAGAGGGAAACAACCCAGACCGCCAGCUAAGGUCCCAAAGUCAUGGUUAAGUGGGAAACGAUGUGGGAAGGCCCAGACAGCCAGGAUGUUGGCUUAGAAGCAGCCAUCAUUUAAAGAAAGCGUAAUAGCUCACUGGUCGAGUCGGCCUGCGCGGAAGAUGUAACGGGGCUAAACCAUGCACCGAAGCUGCGGCAGCGACGCUGAUGCGUUGUUGGGUAGGGGAGCGUUCUGUAAGCCUGCGAAGGUGUGCUGUGAGGCAUGCUGGAGGUAUCAGAAGUGCGAAUGCUGACAUAAGUAACGAUAAAGCGGGUGAAAAGCCCGCUCGCCGGAAGACCAAGGGUUCCUGUCCAACGUUAAUCGGGGCAGGGUGAGUCGACCCCUAAGGCGAGGCCGAAAGGCGUAGUCGAUGGGAAACAGGUUAAUAUUCCUGUACUUGGUGUUACUGCGAAGGGGGGACGGAGAAGGCUAUGUUGGCCGGGCGACGGUUGUCCCGGUUUAAGCGUGUAGGCUGGUUUUCCAGGCAAAUCCGGAAAAUCAAGGCUGAGGCGUGAUGACGAGGCACUACGGUGCUGAAGCAACAAAUGCCCUGCUUCCAGGAAAAGCCUCUAAGCAUCAGGUAACAUCAAAUCGUACCCCAAACCGACACAGGUGGUCAGGUAGAGAAUACCAAGGCGCUUGAGAGAACUCGGGUGAAGGAACUAGGCAAAAUGGUGCCGUAACUUCGGGAGAAGGCACGCUGAUAUGUAGGUGAAGUCCCUCGCGGAUGGAGCUGAAAUCAGUCGAAGAUACCAGCUGGCUGCAACUGUUUAUUAAAAACACAGCACUGUGCAAACACGAAAGUGGACGUAUACGGUGUGACGCCUGCCCGGUGCCGGAAGGUUAAUUGAUGGGGUUAGCGCAAGCGAAGCUCUUGAUCGAAGCCCCGGUAAACGGCGGCCGUAACUAUAACGGUCCUAAGGUAGCGAAAUUCCUUGUCGGGUAAGUUCCGACCUGCACGAAUGGCGUAAUGAUGGCCAGGCUGUCUCCACCCGAGACUCAGUGAAAUUGAACUCGCUGUGAAGAUGCAGUGUACCCGCGGCAAGACGGAAAGACCCCGUGAACCUUUACUAUAGCUUGACACUGAACAUUGAGCCUUGAUGUGUAGGAUAGGUGGGAGGCUUUGAAGUGUGGACGCCAGUCUGCAUGGAGCCGACCUUGAAAUACCACCCUUUAAUGUUUGAUGUUCUAACGUUGACCCGUAAUCCGGGUUGCGGACAGUGUCUGGUGGGUAGUUUGACUGGGGCGGUCUCCUCCUAAAGAGUAACGGAGGAGCACGAAGGUUGGCUAAUCCUGGUCGGACAUCAGGAGGUUAGUGCAAUGGCAUAAGCCAGCUUGACUGCGAGCGUGACGGCGCGAGCAGGUGCGAAAGCAGGUCAUAGUGAUCCGGUGGUUCUGAAUGGAAGGGCCAUCGCUCAACGGAUAAAAGGUACUCCGGGGAUAACAGGCUGAUACCGCCCAAGAGUUCAUAUCGACGGCGGUGUUUGGCACCUCGAUGUCGGCUCAUCACAUCCUGGGGCUGAAGUAGGUCCCAAGGGUAUGGCUGUUCGCCAUUUAAAGUGGUACGCGAGCUGGGUUUAGAACGUCGUGAGACAGUUCGGUCCCUAUCUGCCGUGGGCGCUGGAGAACUGAGGGGGGCUGCUCCUAGUACGAGAGGACCGGAGUGGACGCAUCACUGGUGUUCGGGUUGUCAUGCCAAUGGCACUGCCCGGUAGCUAAAUGCGGAAGAGAUAAGUGCUGAAAGCAUCUAAGCACGAAACUUGCCCCGAGAUGAGUUCUCCCUGACUCCUUGAGAGUCCUGAAGGAACGUUGAAGACGACGACGUUGAUAGGCCGGGUGUGUAAGCGCAGCGAUGCGUUGAGCUAACCGGUACUAAUGAACCGUGAGGCUUAACCUUACAACGCCGAAGCUGUU
rnacentral:rRNA from 1 species